GACGAACGCUGGCGGCGUGCUUAACACAUGCAAGUCGAACGGAAAGGCCUUGCUUUUGUGGGGUGCUCGAGUGGCGAACGGGUGAGUAACACGUGAGUAACCUGCCCUUGACUUUGGGAUAACUUCAGGAAACUGGGGCUAAUACCGGAUAGGAGCUCCUGCUGCAUGGUGGGGGUUGGAAAGUUUCGGCGGUUGGGGAUGGACUCGCGGCUUAUCAGCUUGUUGGUGGGGUAGUGGCUUACCAAGGCUUUGACGGGUAGCCGGCCUGAGAGGGUGACCGGCCACAUUUGGACUGAGAUACGGCCCAGACUCCUACGGGAGGCAGCAGUGGGGAAUAUUGCACAAUGGGCGGAAGCCUGAUGCAGCAACGCCGCGUGCGGGAUGACGGCCUUCGGGUUGUAAACCGCUUUCGCCUGUGACGAAGCGUGAGUGACGGUAAUGGGUAAAGAAGCACCGGCUAACUACGUG
rnacentral:rRNA from 1 species